GCUAUGCACGGCAUUGCUUAUCACUGCGCAGGCUCAGAAUGUUCCCGCGUGCCCACAAUUUAGAGCACGCGCAGUGGCAGCGAUCCUGAGAAGCGGUCGCUAUUUUCCUCGGCUCCGCAAAAGCAUGUUAGAAAAGGAUUUGCAGAUUGGAAACUCAAACCAAAUAUGAUACACCAAGAUCUAAGUGAGCCACUUGGAUAUUAUUGGCCUUUGAAUGUAGACCAGAACUGGACACAGUACUUCAGAAGAGGCCUCACCAACGUCCUGUAC